rnacentral:rRNA from 1 species
UACCAGCACCCCGAGUGGUCGGGACGUUUUAUUGGGCCUAAAGCAUCCGUAGCCGGUUCUACAAGUCUUCCGUUAAAUCCACCUGCUUAACAGAUGGGCUGCGGAAGAUACUAUAGAGCUAGGAGGCGGGAGAGGCAAGCGGUACUCGAUGGGUAGGGGUAAAAUCCGUUGAUCCAUUGAAGACCACCAGUGGCGAAGGCGGCUUGCCAAAACGCGCUCGGACGGUGAGGGAUGAAAGCUGGGGGAGCAAACCGGG